AAUGCACCACGAGGGUUUAGAUUGUCAGGUGCCGUCUCGGUUGACGUCCUACAAGCGGAAGCGGACAACUGUCAUCAUUCUCGUUGGAAACCAGAACGGAGUGGAGUUAAAACGUGUAUUAAAUUGAUUACUACUAAACUACUAAAACUAAAUUGAUUAUAACCUAAAACUUACUUGCUACACUAAAUUUCUUAAAGCUAUUCGCACAAAUUAACCUGGAUUUAUUGCGAUUGCUAAAAAGAGUUAGUGUGCGGCAAACAUCAUUCGCCGUCCGGAACAGGUUAUAUAUGAGCUCUGUGGAAAUAAAAGCAGAAGGGUGC